UUGAAGAUCCAACCCAGUUCGGCGAUGACACCGCAUAAAAAUGGUAUCUUUCAGCCUCCGGAGAUUAUGUACAUGGAUGCAUAGAAGCUCGGACAGACGGACAAAGUAGAUGCCUUCUUCCGGGAGAUCGGCAUAUUAAGGCAAACCACAUGAAUGAAACUUGUCGGUUGGAACCAGUAACUUCAGUUUCAAUCCUUUAAAGUCGCCAAUAGCAGCGCCGAUGACACUCAACCCAAUGCCCAGUAUGCACCUUUGACCGUUUUGGAAUUUUUAGAUGAACUUUUCGACAGCAAUUCCGUUGUUUAUUACCUCCCCUGGUAUAAGAUCCGGAAAAUGCGAGUGUCGGAUUCGCAAGUGCAACGCGAUUUUGGUAAAGUUCGUGGUGAGUCGAGCCUGGGGAACCGUGGUAGGAGAAAUUUAAAUAAUUUUCCGGGAUGGACUUUAUGGACCAUUACUCGAAUGUAAUUUGUCGCCAAACUUUUCUACCUAUUUUUUUAUGACCAACAACAAAGAAGCUUCCAAAGAAACGUAUACGUAAAUAAAAUA